GAUGAAGAACGUAGCGAAAUGCGAUAAGUGAUGUGAAUUGCAGAAUUCAGUGAAUCAUCGAAUCUUUGAACGCACAUUGCGCCCGCCAGUAUUCUGGCGGGCAUGCCUGUUCGAGCGUCAUUUCAACCCUCAGGCCCCCAGUGCCUGGUGUUGGGGAUCGGCCCAGCCUUCCUGUAAGGCCGCCGGCCCCGAAAUCUAGUGGCGGUCUCGCUGUAGUCCUCCUCUGCGUAGUAGCACAACCUCGCAGUUGGAACGCGGCGGUGGCCAUGCCGUUAAACACCCCACUUCUGAAAGUUGACCUCGGAUCAGGUAGGAAUACCCGCUGAACUUAAGCAUAUCAAUAAGCGGAGGA
rnacentral:misc_RNA from 1 species